rnacentral:lncRNA from 1 species
UGUGAGGUAAUGCAAAUGCAUGAAUGCAAAGGAGGCAUCAAUUUUGAUUUAAUUCCCUUUAGAAAACUUCACUAGAAAAUAAAAUUCUUUUACAUAAAGCUGAGUUACAAAUAAAACUUCGCUCUAAUGCUUAAAGUCUUAAUUUUCCUAAGUAACGAGGCUAGCUCCUGCCUGCGAUCUGACUCCAACUUUUACUUCAUGCUCAAUGUGUCCGCUUGUACCGU